rnacentral:rRNA from 1 species
CACUGACAUUAGAUACCCGUGUAGUCCCAGCCGUAAACUAUGCGCGUUAGGUGUAUCGGUGACCACGAGUCACCGAGGUGCCGAAGGGAAACCGUGAAACGUGCCGCCUGGGAAGUACGGUCGCAAGGCUGAAACUUAAAGGAAUUGGCGGGGAGCACCACAACGGGUGGAGCCUGCGGUUUAAUUGGACUCAACGCCGGGAAGCUCACCGGAUAGGACAGCAGAAUGAUUGCCGGGCUGAAGACCCUGCAUGACUAGCUG